CCUACGGGCGGCAGCAGUGGGGAAUAUUGGACAAUGGGCGAAAGCCUGAUCCAGCCAUGCCGCGUGUGUGAAGAAGGCCUUCGGGUUGUAAAGCACUUUCAGUGGGGAAGAAAGCCUUGGGGCUAAUACCCUCGAGGAAGGACAUCACCCACAGAAGAAGCACCGGCUAACUCCGUGCCAGCAGCCGCGGUAAUACGGAGGGUGCGAGCGUUAAUCGGAAUUACUGGGCGUAAAGCGCGCGUAGGCGGUCUGAUAAGCCGGUUGUGAAAGCCCCGGGCUCAACCUGGGAACGGCAUCCGGAACUGUCAGGCUAGAGUGCAGGAGAGGAAGGUAGAAUUCCCGGAGUAGCGGUGAAAUGCGUAGAGAUCGGGAGGAAUACCAGUGGCGAAGGCGGCCUUCUGGACUGACACUGACGCUGAGGUGCGAAAGCGUGGGUAGCAAACAGGAUUAGAUACCCUGGUAGUC
rnacentral:rRNA from 1 species